AUUGAACGCUGGCGGCAUGCCUUACACAUGCAAGUCGAACGGCAGCACGGGAGCAAUCCUGGUGGCGAGUGGUGAACGGGUGAGUAAAGUAUCGGAACGUGCCCAGUCGUGGGGGAUAACGUAGCGAAGUUACGCUAAUACCGCAUACGAUCUAUGGAUGAAAGCGGGGGAUCGCAAGACCUCGCGCGAUUGGAGCGGCCGAUAUCAGAUUAGGUAGUUGGUGGGGUAAAGGCUCACCAAGCCGACGAUCGGUAGCUGGUCUGAGAGGACGACCAGCCACACUGGGACUGAGACACGGCCCAGACUCCUACGGGAGGCAGCAGUGGGGAAUUUUGGACAAUGGGCGAAAGCCUGAUCCAGCCAUGCCGCGUGCAGGAUGAAGGCCUUCGGGUUGUAAACUGCUUUUGUACGGAACGAAAAGGUUUGGCCUAAUAAGCUGAGCUCAUGACGGUACCGUAAGAAUAAGCACCGGCUAACUACGUGCCAGCAGCCGCCGUAA
rnacentral:rRNA from 1 species